GGAUGAAUCUUCCGCAAUGGGCGAAAGCCUGACGGAGCGACGCCGCGUGGAGGAUGACGCGUUUAUUCGUGUAAACUCCUUUUCUGCGGGAAAAUGAUGAUGGUACCGCAGGAAUAAGGGACGGCUAACUACGUGCCAGCAGCCGCGGUAAUACGUAGGUCCCGAGCGUUAUCCGGAAUUACUGGGCGUAAAGGGUUCGUAGGCGGAUUCUUAAGUUCGGCGUGAAAUGCCGGGGCUCAACCCCGCGCGU
rnacentral:rRNA from 1 species